GCCGUUAGCUCAGUUGGUAGAGCAUCUGACUUUUAAUCAGAGGGUCGCUGGUUCGAACCCAGCACGGC
rnacentral:tRNA from 1 species